rnacentral:rRNA from 1 species
GGAAGUAAAAGUCGUAACAAGGUUUCCGUAGGUGAACCUGCGGAAGGAUCAUUAUUGAUUUUUCUAAUGAGGAGUUGAGUUGUUGCUGGCCUCUGGGGAUUAGUUUCUCCAAGGCAUGUGCACACCUUCUCUUUCAUCCACACACCCCUGUGCACUUGUGAGACAGUAAGGUUUCUUUUUUUGGGGGGCCUUGCUGUCUACUUAAUCUACACACACUCUAUUUAUUUUAAAACGAAUGUAAUUGAUGUAACGCAUCUAAUACUAAGUUUCAACAACGGAUCUCUUGGCUCUCGCAUCGAUGAAGAACGCAGCGAAAUGCGAUAAGUAAUGUGAAUUGCAGAAUUCAGUGAAUCAUCGAAUCUUUGAACGCACCUUGCGCUCCUUGGUAUUCCUUGGAGCAUGCCUGUUUGAGUAUCAUGAAAUCUUCAAAGUAAACCUUUUUUGUUAAUUCAAUUUAGGUCUCUUACUUUGGUCUUGGAGGUUAUUGCAGCUUCACACCUGCUCCUCUUUGUGCAUUAGCUGGAUCUCAGUGUUAUGCUUGGUUCCACUCAGCGUGAUAAGUUAUCUAUCGCUGAGGACACUGGUAAAAAGGUGGCCAAGGUAAACGCAGAUGAACCGCUUCCAAUAGUCCAUUGACUUGGACAAUUAUUUAUGAUCUGAUCUCAAAUCAGGUAGGACUACCCGCUGAACUUAAGCAUAUCAAUAAGCGGAGGAA